GUUGAGAGUCCAGUCGCAGUGGGUGGAUGAUGGCCAGUUGUGGCUGUCCAGCCAGCUGCCAGGUUGUGAGACCAGCUGCCACUGUGGAGAGGCCACAUGGAGAGGAACUGAGGCUUCCUGCUAAUGGCCUCAUGAACGAGCUUGGAAAUGGAUCCUCUGGCCCCUGAGAAAGUAGAUGACUGCAGCCCCAACAGCUUAACUGCAACUUCAUGAGGGACCUUGAAUCAGAAUCACCCAGAUGUGCUGCUCUUGGAUUCCUGACGGUCAGAAACUGUGUGAGAUGAUAAAUAUUUUUUUGUUUUAAGCUGUUGCAUUCUGGGGUAACUCACCAUGCAACAAUGCAUAACUAAUACACUGCUCCAUGAUGUCUGGGAUUUUAGCUGGGAAGACUCCAAUGGCUGGGGGCUGGAAUCACCUGGAGGUUGCUUCCCUCACAUGACCAGUGCCUGAGCUGAGACCGUCACCUGGAGAACUAAACGUGGCCUCCCCAUGUGGCUUGACUUCUCACAGCAUAUCACCUGUGUUCCAAGAAGGAGUGCCUAUAGACUAAGCUUUCUAAGGGAACAAGAAAAAAGUUAUAAGGUUUCUUUUGGUCUAGCCUGAGAAACAUGCAUUAUAACUUCUGCUGCAUUCUCUGGGUUAGCAGCAGUCACCAAGGCCAGCCCGUAUUCAAGGGGAGAAGAAUUUGACUGGUCCUCUUGAUGAAGUGAUAUGGUCCUAUUGCAGAACCUGUCUUGGGGAAAUUGCCUGCUCUGCUCUAAGGGACAGGUGGCUUCUUUUCACAAGCCUGGCAUAGCUCCAGCACUGGAAGGUCUCACUGGCUCCUCCCACUACCAAGUCACCUCAUCCUUUCUCUGCCAGCUCCUGCACUUAGCCCUCUACCUCUGUCAGGUACGUAACUCUUUACCUACCCUACUAGGUGGAAUUAUGGCCCCAUUUUACAGAGGAGGAAGUAAUCUGGCCAAGGCCACGUAGCCAGAGGAUGGUAGAGCAGGAACUCAGUGCCAGCUCUGACUCCUAGGGCUAUGCUUUAGGGCUUCUGAGAUUCCAGAAAUCUGGCAGGUGUUGGAGCCUCAACCCUCAUCUCAUGGCUCUGCUGAGGGAGGCACCACUGUGAGCAGCAUGAGAGGGUG
rnacentral:lncRNA from 13 species